rnacentral:rRNA from 1 species
GUGCCAGCAGCCGCGGUAAUACGUAGGGCGCGAGCGUUGUCCGGAAUUAUUGGGCGUAAAGAGCUCGUAGGCGGCUGGUCGCGUCUGUCGUGAAAUCCUCUGGCUUAACUGGGGGCUUGCGGUGGGUACGGGCCGGCUUGAGUGCGGUAGGGGAGACUGGAACUCCUGGUGUAGCGGUGGAAUGCGCAGAUAUCAGGAAGAACACCGGUGGCGAAGGCGGGUCUCUGGGCCGUUACUGACGCUGAGGAGCGAAAGCGUGGGGAGCGAACAGGAUUAGA